AUUGAACGCUGGCGGCAGGCUUAACACAUGCAAGUCGAGCGGGGACUUCGGUCCUAGCGGCGAACGGGUGAGGAAUGCUUGGGAAUCUGCCCAGUAGCGGGGGAUAACGUUUCGAAAGGAACGCUAAUACCGCAUACGCCAUACGGGGGAAAGGGGGGGAUCUUCGGACCUCUCACUAUUGGAUGAGCCCAAGGCGGAUUAGCUCGUUGGUGAGGUAAAGGCUCACCACGGCGACGAUCCGUAGCUGGUCUGAGAGGAUGAUCAGCCACACUGGAACUGAGACACGGUCCAGACUCCUACGGGAGGCAGCAGUGGGGAAUAUUGGACAAUGGGCGAAAGCCUGAUCCAGCCAUGCCGCGUGUGUGAAGAAGGCCUUCGGGUUGUAAAGCACUUUAAGCGAGGAGGAAUGGCUCCGGGUUAAUACCCUUGAGCAUAGACGUUACUCGCAGAGUAAGCACCGGCUAACUCUGUGCCAGCAGCCGCCGUAA
rnacentral:rRNA from 1 species